GACGAACGCUGGCGGCGUGCUUAACACAUGCAAGUCGAACGGAAAGGCCCUGCUUUUGUGGGGUGCUCGAGUGGCGAACGGGUGAGUAACACGUGAGUAACCUGCCCUUGACUUUGGGAUAACUUCAGGAAACUGGGGCUAAUACCGGAUAGGAGCUCCUGCUGCAUGGUGGGGGUUGGAAAGUUUCGGCGGUUGGGGAUGGACUCGCGGCUUAUCAGCUUGUUGGUGGGGUAGUGGCUUACCAAGGCUUUGACGGGUAGCCGGCCUGAGAGGGUGACCGGCCACAUGGGGACUGAGAUACGGCCCAGACUCCUACGGGAGGCAGCAGUGGGGAAUAUUGCACAAUGGGCGGAAGCCUGAUGCAGAAACGCCGCGUGCGGGAUGACGGCCUUCGGGUUGUAACCGCUUUCGCCUGUGACGAAGCGUGAGUGACGGUAAUGGGUAAAGAAGCACCGGCUAACUACGUG
rnacentral:rRNA from 1 species